rnacentral:rRNA from 1 species
UGGGGAAUUUUGGACAAUGGGCGCAAGCCUGAUCCAGCCAUGCCGCGUGGGUGAAGAAGGCCUUCGGGUUGUAAAGCUCUUUUAGUCGGAAAGAAAGAGUUGCAAUGAAUAAUUGUGAUUUAUGACGGUACCGACAGAAAAAGCACCGGCUAACUACGUGCCAGCAGCCGCGGUAAUACGUAGGGUGCGAGCGUUAAUCGGAAUUACUGGGCGUAAAGGGUGCGCAGGCGGUCUUGCAAGUCAGAUGUGAAAGCCCCGGGCUUAACCUGGGAAUUGCGUUUGAAACUACAAGACUAGAGUGCAGCAGAGGGGAGUGGAAUUCCAUGUGUAGCAGUGAAAUGCGUAGAGAUGUGGAAGAACACCGAUGGCGAAGGCAGCUCCCUGGGUUGACACUGACGCUCAUGCACGAAAGCGUGGGGAGCAAACA